rnacentral:rRNA from 1 species
UACGUAGGGUGCGAGCGUUGUCCGGAAUUAUUGGGCGUAAAGAGCUCGUAGGCGGUCUGUCGCGUCGGUCGUGAAAACUUGGGGCUUAACCCUGAGCUUGCGGUCGAUACGGGCAUGACUGGAGUUCGGCAGGGGGGACUGGAAUUCCUGGUGUAGCGGUGAAAUGCGCAGAUAUCAGGAGGAACACCGGUGGCGAAGGCGGGUCUCUGGGCCGAUACUGACGCUGAGGAGCGAAAGCGUGGGGAGCGAACAGG